rnacentral:rRNA from 1 species
AGCAGCAGCCACGGGAAUACGGAGGGUGCGAGCGUUAAUCGGAAUUACUGGGCGUAAAGCGUACGCAGGCGGUUUGUUAAGUCAGAUGUGAAAUCCCCGAGCUUAACUCGGGAACUGCAUUUGAAACUGGCAGGCUAGAGUCUCGUAGAGGGGGGUAGAAUUCCAGGUGUAGCGGUGAAAUGCGUAGAGAUCUGGAGGAAUACCGGUGGCGAAGGCGGCCCCCUGGACGAAGACUGACGCUCAGGUACGAAAGCGUGGGGAGCAAACAGGAUUAGAUACCCCGGUAGUCCCUGUCUCUUAUAC